rnacentral:rRNA from 1 species
UGGGGAAUUGUUCGCAAUGGGCGCAAGCCUGACGACGCAACGCCGCGUGGCGGAUGAAGGUCUUCGGAUUGUAAACUCCUGUUGCCCGGGACGAAACGCUUCGACCUAACACGUCGAAGUCUGACGGUACCGGGUGAGGAAGCCCCGGCUAACUCUGUGCCAGCAGCCGCGGUAAUACAGAGGUGGCAAGCGUUGUUCGGAAUUACUGGGCGUAAAGGGCGCGUAGGCGGCCAUCUAAGUCAGACGUGAAAUCCCCCGGCUUAACCUGGGAACUGCGUCUGAUACUGGACGGCUUGAGUUUGGGAGAGGGAUGCAGAAUUCCAGGUGUAGCGGUGAAAUGCGUAGAUAUCUGGAGGAAUACCGGUGGCGAAGGCGGCAUCCUGGACCAACACUGACGCUGAGGCGCGAAAGCUAGGGGAGCAAA